CAACAACCUGUUGCCAUGUAUUGUGAUUUGUAUCAGUCACAAGCACACAACCCCUUCUAGUAUUAAUGAUGUUUAAAACGUUCUACACGUACGGCGGACCGCAUCCGUCGCAAGCACGCGCAUAUAACCCCCAAAUGCACCAUGAUGAGAAGCACAGCCACGCGUCAAAAAACUUUAAAAACAUCGUUAUCCAAUAUUAAAAACCACACCGAAAUUUACACAGGUGGCACGUUACCGUGUUAGUGUCACCCACUGUACACAAGGCGUGUCGUAUAUGUAGUAUAGGUAUUUGAUGAGGCGGAAGCAUAUCCCGCUUCCAGCGAACGGAAAUAAGGAUCAUCCGUUCCAGCAUUUAUUCAAAGGGGGCACAGAGGGUUCACAUUGUUUAGAGAGAGUUUUUCUUAGUAACCAUUCCAUACUUUGGCAGUAUUGGCCUACGAUUUGGGCGACGUUUCAGGCUGGUCUAUUCUCCGUCCACUUUUCCCCGGCUAUUCUAUCCCAGCAUAGGCUCUUGAAAUAAACAAUGUUUACCGAGUAAAA
rnacentral:misc_RNA from 1 species